rnacentral:lncRNA from 1 species
GACUCCUGAGAACCCUCUGGGAGCACAACCACCCCAGACCCCCUUUUUUCCCUCCUCCGGCCCAGUUCAGGGACAGGGGUCAGUUUGAAUUUCCAUCAGUGUUGCAACAGGGCGGGUGUCUGGCGGGAGUUAAUCCUGGAGCGGAGGGGGUGGUGGCACUAGAGCCGUCUGCGCUGCCGGGGGCCGGGGACUCUGCGACGCCUGCUCCUUCCCGGGGCUCCGAGAGCCAGCAGGUCGCGAGUGGGAGGGGUGGGGGAGUCACUGCUGUGACGCGGCCGCCUCUGCGGGAAAACGCCGUGUCCCGGCACUGCACCAGCCGCGGGGAAGGGGCCCCGGCGGCCGACGGGUCUCGGGCGCAGCGGAAUCCCCCAGUCGUGUUUGAAGUCUGCAAGUCACAACAGCGGACAGAGCUCCAGGAGGAGGACGCCACUUGGAAUCCAACCACCCUGCAUCCCCGUCUCCAGCAUUCUUCUAUUAUCACCCGCUGUCUGCGAGAUCAAACAGAACAAGCCUGCUAAACGGAGAUUUUUUUCCCCUUUCCUUUCGUCUCUUCCUUUCUCACUGCAGGGACCCCAAUUUUCUGAGUAACUUAAAUCAUUACUGAAAGAUGUCUAGGUUCACAGACAUCAAACCCGUUUCAAAGAGAGGCGUGGGCAAGCAAAGUUGAGCUCAGAAAAGCAGAGAGGAAACUUUCCCAGUUUCUGGGUUUAGCCAUUCACACAUUCAGGAAAACUAUCAGCUGCUUUACAGGGUUUCAUUUUCCUUCCCUACCAUCUCCUUGGGGCUUGAUUGGUCCCCGGGGUCCCAUUUCUGGAUUCUUUUUGAGCCACCAGCACUUCUGUAGGCCCUUCAGUUAGGGCACAGAUAGGUCCUGUCCUCUCACUGCACGGUCUGUUCAAUCUUGCACAUCUUUCUGAUGGCACGCUCUUUUCUACGAAGCCUGAACUCUCCAGGCUAAAUGGACCACUCCUGCCUCUGAAUCAUGUUUUGCUUUUGCCUUUACAUUAUAUUCUGUAAAUCUUAUAUUCCUUUUUCAAGAAUGUAAGUUCCUUGAAGAAGAUCAUGGCUUAUUCAAUUUUUCAUCCAUCAUAAUAUACAAUAUUAUGCACCACAAGAGCUGGAU